rnacentral:rRNA from 1 species
AUUGAACGCUGGCGGCAGGCCUAACACAUGCAAGUCGAACGAGUGGCGGACGGGUGAGUAAUGUCUGGGAAACUGCCUGAUGGAGGGGGAUAACUACUGGAAACGGUAGCUAAUACCGCAUACCAUCGGAUGUGCCCAGAUGGGAUUAGCUAGUAGGUGGGGUAAAGGCUCACCUAGGCGACGAUCCCUAGCUGGUCUGAGAGGAUGACCAGCCAACAUGGAACUGAGACACGGUCCAGACUACUACGGGAGGCAGCAGUGGGGAAGAUUGCACAAUGGGGGCAAGCCUGAUGCAGACAUGCCGCGUGUAUGAAGAAGGCCGUCGGGUUGUAAAGUACUUUCAGCGGGGAGGCGUUACCCGCAGAAGAAGCACCGGCUAACUACGUGCCAGCCGCCGCGGUAAUAC